rnacentral:rRNA from 1 species
AUGUUGACCCCAUGCUUCGUGAAGUGGAGGACUACUUUGCAAAAUGGGGGAGAAGAGGGGGUAGUCGAGCUGAAAGAUGAGCUCAACCAGAUACUCAUGUUGAUCGCAAGUCGAUGCUUACUUGGAAAUGAGGUUAGAGAAAAGCUAUUCGGUGAGAUUUACACGUUGUUUAGUGGAAUCGAAGAAGGGGUGAACUUGGUGUGUUUCAUGCUCCCAUAUAUGCCUAUUCCGGCAAACCACCGACGAGACAAAGCACGGAUCAGACUUACAGAGAUUGUUUAUGAUAUUAUGAGGUCAAGAAAGACAUGCGACGGUGUCGAGGAAGAUGUGCUCCAGAAAUUGAUGGACUCUAGGUAUAAAGACGGCCGUUGUACAACAGAAGCGGCGGUCGCCGGGAUGAUCAUCGCAUUGAUAUUUGCUGGAAAACACUCAAGCACAAUUGUAUCCACCUGGACAGGAGCUUGCCUAUUGACCCAUACAAUGUUUUUAGAUGCUGUUGUGGAAGAGCAAAGGGAAAUAAUGAGAAAAUAUAAGGACAAUAUAGACUAUAAUGUCUUGUCAAAGAUGGAGACAUUGCAUAGUUGCAUCAAAGAGGCAGGACGUAUGCAUCCAGCAACACUAGGGUUGAUUCACCAAACACAAAAGAAUAUCACUGUGAGGGCAAAAGAGGGAAGUGAAUAUGGCAUCCCGAAAGGUGACACCUUAGUAAAUCUUGUAAUGCUAACCAGUAAGUUGUCACACAUUUACAAGGACCCUGAAGUGUACGACCCAUACCGGUUUCAUCCUGGAAGAGAGGAGGACAAAGUUGGUGGUAAAUUCUCGUACGCAAUAUUUGGCGGUGGAAGCCAUGCUUGUCCUGGGGAGGCCUAUGCUUUCUUGCAAAUCAAAAUUAUAUGGAGCCAUUUGCUGAGAAAUUUUGAAAUCAAACUCACUUCUCCUUUUCCGAAGACAGAUUGGAGCAAGUUCGUGUUAGAGCCUAAAGGGAAAGUGCUGGUAAACUAUAGGAGACGUCGUCUGGAAAGCAACUGA